UGAAUUGCUUGGCCUGUGCUGCAGUGCUGGGCCUGUGCUGCAGUGCUGGGCAGAGAAGAAUGACGGUGAUUUGAGGAGCAGAGUCAAGCCGAGGGGAAUUAAGCUGACGAGGACGUUCAGCUGUCAGGAGAGGCCGUGUUAGAAACUUUCCCACGACCCGGCUCCUCUACUCAGUGACGUCGUGCGACGGAACGUGGAGGGCGGGGCAAUAACGCCGCGUGCGCCACGUCGCAUCAUGCGGUAGCAUCGUUCUCUUUGCUUCGAGCUCGCGGCAGCGACGGACGUACUCUCUAGUGCUAAUAGGACGCGUACUUGUACUUAUGUUGAUAAACAUUUAGUUGAUGUAAAUGAAUAAAUCUUGUAAAGUUACUCCGUGUCUUAUU
rnacentral:misc_RNA from 1 species